GGUGGCUCAGCAGUAGAGUGCAUGCCUUGCAAGCAUGAGGCCCUGGGUUCAAUUCCUCAGCACCA
rnacentral:tRNA from 1 species